UACGUAGGGCGCAAGCGUUGUCCGGAAUUAUUGGGCGUAAAGAGCUCGUAGGCGGUCUGUCGCGUCGGCUGUGAAAACCCGAGGCUCAACCUCGGGCCUGCAGUCGAUACGGGCAAACUAGAGUGUUGCAGGGGAGACUGGAAUUCCUGGUGUAGCGGUGAAAUGCGCAGAUAUCAGGAGGAACACCGGUGGCGAAGGCGGGUCUCUGGGCAACAACUGACGCUGAGGAGCGAGAGCGUGGGGAGCGAACAGG
rnacentral:rRNA from 1 species